UCAAACUGUAGUGUGAAUUAGCCUUGUCUC
rnacentral:piRNA from 1 species